UACUAAGCUAUGAUAUUAAACUUAGGUGGAGGAAAAUAAAUUAUUGCUAUAAGAGAGUAAGAGUUAGUAUUUGGGACUUUGGAGAAAACCAAUUUUGUUUGAGUGAUUAGAAUGUAGGGUGUGCUAUCACUACUUAUCACUCUGUUUGUAAUAAUAAAAACUUAUAUUGUAGUAUCUACCCGUCUAGUGUUCAGUUCAAUAAGAUAGUUACUACAUAGGUUACUAGUAUAUUUAAUAAUUUUAUUAUGUAGAGAGAAAUUAUCGAUCAUCUGGAUCGACAUUAAUACUACAGAGUGGCUGGCGAGACGUAAAGAUCAAUGAUAAGCAGUAUAUAACGAGUUACACAGGUUCAAUCACUUAAGAUGAUAUAAUACACUACUCUUGC
rnacentral:lncRNA from 1 species